UACGUAGGGGGCAAGCGUUGUCCGGAAUCAUUGGGCGUAAAGAGCGUGUAGGCGGCCCGAUAAGUCCGCUGUGAAAGUCCAGGGCUCAACCCUGGGAUGCCGGUGGAUACUGUCGGGCUCGAGUCCGGAAGAGGAGUGUGGAAUUCCUGGUGUAGCGGUGAAAUGCGCAGAUAUCAGGAGGAACACCGGUGGCGAAGGCGGAUCUCUGGGCCUUACCUGACGCUGAGGCGCGAAAGCUAGGGGAGCGAACAGG
rnacentral:rRNA from 1 species